UUGCACUUACUUCAGCUGCACAUAAAGUAAAAUUGGAAUGAUCCAGAGGUUAGUAUGGCCCCUACACAAAGGAAAACAUACAAAUUCAUGAAGUGUUCCAUAUUUUU
ensembl:snRNA U6 U6 spliceosomal RNA